rnacentral:rRNA from 1 species
UACGUAGGGUGCGAGCGUUGUCCGGAAUUAUUGGGGCGUAAAGGGCUCGUAGGCGGUUUGUCGCGUCGGGGGUGAAAUCAUCUGGCUUAACUGGGUGCUUGCUUUCGAAUACGGGCAGACUAGAGGUAUGCAGGGGAGAACGGAAUUCCUGGUGUAGCGGUGAAAUGCGCAGAUAUCAGGAGGAACACCGGUGGCGAAGGCGGUUCUCUGGGCAUGAUCUGACGCUGAGGAGCGAAAGUGUGGGGAGCGAAACAGGG